rnacentral:rRNA from 1 species
CAGCCGCCGCGGUAAUACGUAGGUCCCGAGCGUUGUCCGGAUUUAUUGGGCGUAAAGCGAGCGCAGGCGGUUAGAUAAGUCUGAAGUUAAAGGCUGUGGCUUAACCAUAGUACGCUUUGGAAACUGUUUAACUUGAGUGCAAGAGGGGAGAGUGGAAUUCCAUGUGUAGCGGUGAAAUGCGUAGAUAUAUGGAGGAACACCGGUGGCGAAAGCGGCUCUCUGGCUUGUAACUGACGCUGAGGCUCGAAAGCGUGGGGCGCAAACAGGAUUAGAGACCCCUGUAGUCCCUGUCUCUUAUACA